CCCUUAGAUGUUCUGGGCCGCACGCGCGCUACACUGAUCGAUUCAACGAGUUUUGAAAUAAUUUUUUGAUUUUUUCAUAUCCUUUGUCGGAAGGCAUGGGUAAUCUUUUAAAUGUCGAUCGUGAUGGGGCUAGAUUCUUGCAAUUAUUAAUCUCCAACGAGGAAUUCCUAGUAAACGCAAGUCAUCAGCUUGCAUUGAUUACGUCCCUGCCCUUUGUACACACCGCCCGUCGCUCCUACCGAUUGAGUGGUCCGGUGAGGCUUUGGGAUCUGAGCGGAAAGAGCGUUUCGCUGUUUCUGCCCGGAAAACUCAGUCGAACCUUAUCAUUUAGAGGAAGGAGAAGUCGUAACA
rnacentral:rRNA from 1 species